AGAGAAGGGAGCACUUCAGAAUUCUUGAGAAUGCUAUGGCAGCCCUUCCAAUAGAACUUUCUGUAAUAAUGGAGAUGUUCUGUGUGCACUGGCCAAUAGGAUAGCCCCUAGCCACUUGAAACGUGGCCAGUGUGUUUAGGGGAUUGAAUAUUUUAUUUUAUUUUAUUUUAUUUUAUUUUAAUUAAUUCCAAUAAUUUAAACAGCCACUGGUGGCUAAUGGCUAUCACAUUACACAGCAGAGUUCUGUGGGAAUUCACCUAGCCCUGAAGCCGUGCCUCCAAUGGCUGGAUUUGAAGCAGAAACACACAGCUGUGCUUGACUUAAUACCUAAUACAGGCUUCUCACUCAAAAUUAAUUAUUCUUCUGAUCAUUUACUCAAUAAAUGUCUACCAAAUAUCUGCUAUGUGCCAAGCACUUGCUAAGCUGUGGGAAUAAAAUAGAGAACAAUACAGACCUGGCCCUUAGAUCUCUAAUAGACAAUGAAUUUAAAGAGCAUACAAAUAAUUGUAAAAAUAUAGCUGGUGCAUGUGCCAUGAGGACAGGUAGCAUGGACUUCAUACAGACUGAGGAGACAGUGAGAGUAUCCUGAAGUUCUGUCGGAGGACUUUCAUCUCCUGCAGAAAAGAACAAUGCCGUGGCAAUGUACUCAGAGCUGAGGAAGGCAGCUGGCCUCAGACAGUUAACUAAGUGGAAAGAAAACACCGGGCUGCUUUUGGAUCAGAUGUGAAAUUGACACCACUGCAGUAUCUCGCCUACAGGGAGAGAAUGUACUGUGCAGACCGACGUGAGGAUCCAAUCCACUAAACAGUUACAUGCCAUGAUGUAAAUUAAUAAAUCCGUAUUCUGAUUUUAUCAUCUGCCUCAUCUGAGCUCUGUGGGCGUGAGUCAGCAUCCCUGAGUCUAAUCAACAUGGACACUGAGAAUAUCAAGCUCCUGAGCUGAAAACCUAAGAACUACACCCAGGACCAGAGUGUAGUCACCAAGGUAACACUGCCCUGGAGGCUCCUCGGCCUGAUGGAGAGAAGGCCUUCCUACAUAUCAUGCGAUACA